CCAUCUGUGCUCGUAAAUCAGGAAACUGCAAAACUGUGAGAACACUCCGACGUCAAUUGAGUAUCUACAUCUAACGUAACACUGGCUCAUAGUGGGAAAUCAAUAAAUAUCACCUGAAUGAACAAGAGAAUGAUUAUACAUUAAACAAACAAGAGCCUCAUCUUGAAAUAGAUUAUUCUCCCCCUAGGAGGCAUCAAUGCUUUGGUCACAGCUUUGGGAUGGGCAAAGCAAGAUAUGCAUGACUCUUGGCCAGUGAUUCUCAACCUCGGCUGCACAUUGGCAUCAACUGGGGAACCUUCAAAGCUCCUGGCAUGUGGGUUCCACCCUCAGAGAUUGUGAUGUAAUGCACUGACAGUCAAAUUGGGAACAACUGUAAAUUGGCUCAGUUCAUUCAUCUUUUACUGCUGUACAGAAGAUUUCAUUGUAUAAGUACUUCACAACUCAUGUACUGAUUUCUAGUUGAUGAACUGUUUCAAAUUUUUGUUAUUUCAAGCAAUUCUCUAAUGAAUGUUGUUGUACUUGU
ensembl:lncRNA ENTPD1-AS1 ENTPD1 antisense RNA 1